GGAGGUUGGCUUAGAAGCAGCCAUCCUUGAAAGAGUGCGUAAUAGCUCACUGGUCGAGUGGUUCUGCGCCGAUAAUGUAGCGGGGCUUAAGUACACCGCCGAAACCGCGGCAACACAUGUAAAGUGUGUUGGGUAGGGGAGCGUCGUGCAUGUGUUGAAGCUAUUUGGUGACAGGUGGUGGAGUGUGUGCGAGUGAGAAUGCAGGCAUGAGUAACGAUUGAUGUGUGAGAAACAUAUCCGCCGGAUGACUAAGGGUUCCUGGGUGAAGUUUGUCUUCCCAGGGUGAGUCGGGGCCUAAGGCGAGGCCGACAGGCGUAGUCGAUGGAUGACGGGUUGAUAUUCCCGUACCCGUGUGCGUGCGACAAGUGAUGAAUCUUAUGGUACUAACCGCCCGCCUGCGUGCACUGGUCUUUUUGGUUGGUGUGUGUGGGUGCGUGGGAUCUUCGUGGGUAGUAGUCAAGUGAUGGGGUGACGCAGAGUGGUAGCUAGGCUUCCUUAUUGGAUUGGAGUGCAAGCGUGUGGCCUGUGGGGUUGGGAAAUCCGCCCCACAUAUCAGGUGAGGCGUGAUGCGGACACCAUGUUGUGGUGGUAGUUAGUGUGCCUGUGCUGUCUAGAAAAGCCUCUAGCGAGUGCGUGCAUGGCCCGUACCGGAAACCGACACAGGUGGUCAGGUAGAGAAUACUAAGGCGUUCGGGUGAACUGUGGUUAAGGAACUCGGCAAAAUGCCCCCGUAACUUCGGGAGAAGGGGGACCAUUACUAGUUGCUGACAGCAUUAUAGCUGGUGGUGGUCGCAGAGGAGAGAGGGAAGCGACUGUUUAUUAAAAACACAGGUCCGUGCGAAAACGUGGAAGUUGAGGUAUACGGACUGACGCCUGCCCGGUGCUGGAAGGUUAAGAGGACCCGUGAGCACGCCUAGUGUGUGCGAGGCGGAGAAUUGAAGCCCCAGUAAACGGCGGUGGUAACUAUAACCAUCCUAAGGUAGCGAAAUUCCUUGUCGGGUAAGUUCCGACCUGCACGAAUGGCGUAACGACUUCCCUGCUGUCUCAACCACAGGCCCGGUGAAAUUGCAGUACGAGUAAAGAUGCUCGUUUCGCGCGGCAGGACGAAAAGACCCCGGGACCUUUACUAUAGCUUGGUAUUGGUGUUUGGUCAUGCUUGUGUAGGAUAGGUGGGAGACUGUGAAACCGCAACGCUAGUUGUGGUGGAGUCGCAGGUGAAAUACCACUCUGGUGUGAUUGGGUACCUGAACCUUGGCCCGUGAUCCGGGUUGGGGACAGUGCCUGGUGGGUAGUUUAACUGGGGCGGUUGCCUCCUAAAUGGUAACGGAGGCGCCCAAAGGUUUCCUCAGUCUGGUUGGCAAUCAGAUGGUGAGUGUAAGUGUAUAAGGGAGCUUGACUGUGACACUGACGGGUGGAGCAGGUGCGAAAGCAGGGACUAGUGAUCCGGCACCGACGUGUGGUUGUGGUGUCGCUCAACGGAUAAAAGGUACCCCGGGGAUAACAGGCUGAUCUUCCCCAAGAGUUCAUAUCGACGGGAUGGUUUGGCACCUCGAUGUCGGCUCGUCGCAUCCUGGGGCUGGAGUAGGUCCCAAGGGUUGGGCUGUUCGCCCAUUAAAGCGGCACGCGAGCUGGGUUUAGAACGUCGUGAGACAGUUCGGUCUCUAUCCGCCGCGCGCGUUGAAACUUGAAGAAGGCUGUCCCUAGUACGAGAGGACCGGGAUGGACGUACCUCUGGUAUGCCAGUUGUCACGCCAGUGGCAUGGCUGGUUAGCUACGUGCGGGAGGGAUAACCGCUGAAAGCAUCUAAGCGGGAAGCCUGUUUUGA
rnacentral:rRNA from 1 species